UAAAGGACAUAAAGGUUCCAUUGAAAACAAAACCUCUCUCCUCUCAGACAGCCAACGCUUACAGCUCGCCAUCUCUCUCACGAAAUCUCCCUAUUGAUCUUUACCCACAUGGCCGAAAACACCAGUUGAUGUCGAAGCAAAAGCCUAUCCUCCAGCAAUUGCAGUGGUUUUUUAGCAGCUCAGGUCUAAGUUUUCGGUUGGGAGAUCGUAACUCUGCGGUGGACGCUGGGCGGCUGGGCAGUCAUGAGUCACUCUCCGCCUCUCGUUCGUUGCUCUCUCUGCACCACGCAACUGCGCCACACCUCUCUCUCUCCCUCCCUCCCUCCUUGAUGGGAUCUCCCUCAGUCUCUCACUAGCAAUUGUUACUAAAGUCUUUAGCAGAUACAUUCCUAGUUUCAUUCUUCUGUUAUUUCUGAAAAUGGUAUCCUUUGUUAUGUAAUUCUUUUUAUCCAUUCAAGAAUAUAUAUCUCACAAUGAAAUAAAAGGAGUGCAUCUUCAAAAGUACUUUGGUUCACAAUGGUUGUCUUUUUUUGCUAUUGUAUUUACUGGAUCAUUUUUCUAAAACUUCCAUAUUUUUUUAUCGAUACAGAAUAUUCCUGCAAAGCUUGAUUUACUUUGACAUUUGUCUACUUUUCUUGAAAUUGCAAAGUACAGAAUCGUCUCUGGUGUGGCUGGACUUUUGAUUGUCCUUAAAAAUCUAAGGUAAGUAAACCUUUUGUUCAAGUGACUGCUGUUUAGCACUGCUUAUUAAUUUCUGGUGAUUUUGUCCCUUUGUAUACCCUCCUGGUAAGUUCAUAAUUUUGGAGAACUGUCAGACUUAAUGGGGCUCUGGUGCAUCUUGUAAUGUCACCUUAAUUUUAUUGGAUUGCAGCAUUGGUUUCUCAUAAAUGCUUACUACUUUAAGCUUUUAUUGAAUUUCCUUGUAGAUCUGACAUUUGUAUCAGUCUUAAAUGUGACUGUGUAUAUUCUUGCUGGGAAAUUAAUUUUAUGAACUUAUCAAUCAAAUGUAGUUCCUUUAGAAUUUUAUAUUCUUUACACCAAAUAGAGAAUAUUUUUCUAACUAGCUCAUUCCAGCUUUUGAGGCUUGUCACUGUACUAGGGAUGAGGUCAAUAUGAUUGUCAAAGUCAAAGGCUAAACUGCUCCAUGGGAAGCUCUUGGAAAGGAAAUACAAUCAUGAGGAUAUCAUCUUGUCCUUGAUUCGCCAUCAAUCUAUUUGAACUUUUUAAUUGCAGGAAUUGGGUUUUGAUGGAUGAAAGUUUAAGUUUUUGUUUUGAAUUCUGUGAUUGUGAGUUGAAUAUCUGGUUUGCUGUUUGAGUUUCUGUUUCUUGGGAUUUCUUUUGGCAUUCAGAUGGUUUGAUUACCUUUCUGCCUUCAUGCCUCUAAUUCUUUAUUUUUUUUUUCUUUAUUAAAUUUUCAAAUCCUACUUUAAGUAACAUUUUCAUGAUAUUCUUUCAUUUGUAGGGAGUAAGCAUCUUCUAGAGAUGAAUAGGAUUUUAAGGCCCGGGGGAUACUUUAUCUUGUCAACUAAACAUGACAGCUUUGAAGCUGAAGAAGGUAAACAAAUAUCUAGAAAACUAUGAAAUGGCCCUUACUGGAUUUGAAGCUGCUGCUUUCAAGGAUCCUGGUCUCAAUGCUACCGAAGAGGUUCAAAAGAUUGUUAACCUUCUUGACAAGCUAGAUAAUUUGUUAAGGGUAAUGCAUUUUUCAUUUGUAAAUGUGGUAUCUUGAGGUCUUGAGUAUGUGUUUCCAAAGUGGUUUCUAGGAUCAAGGGGCCUUGGGCUAUCAUCUAUUGGCAGGUAACUUUUGAGUGGUAAGUUUCGAUUUAAUGUGAUUGGAAUGUGUUGCACUAUCUGUUUUGCUUUGGAUACUAGUUUGAAUUAUGCCAAAUACGGCUUUGCACUCUUUCUAAUGUUAUUUGUCUUUCUAUGGCAGUUGCUUUAAUUCCUUUAUCUAUUUUCACCAACAUUUUCGUUCCACUUUUCGUUUUUCUUUUUCAAUUUUCAUUAGUUUUGCUUUAGAUCCAAUAUUAUAUGCUAUCUAUGUCCUAAGUUAUGGAUUUGUGAUCUCCCUUUCAUUUUCAUAUUGUCCAGUCUGGUAUGGUGAACCAGUAAGCAUUUUUACCUUUGGGUGAGAUUUUGGUUUCUCUUUAAUAUGAUUUUUAACUCUGACAGAUUCAAUUUGUUAAUGGACGUGUACCACAAUCUAUAUCAGAAAUACGAGGGUAUUUGGAGAAUAAUUUGUUACAAAUAAUUGAAAUCUGAGUUGCAAUUCAGCUCUUAAUACUUUCUGUUGUUUUAUUGUCUAAGGUUGGUGUGCGAGGACAUAACUGGGGGUCUAGAGGAUAUUGCCAUUCCAGCUAGCAAUUUGGUCGAUGAUCCGCCUGUUGCUUUGCCAGUUGAUGUUGUAAAUAUGGUUAUCUUAGCAAGCAUAAAGGAGUUAAGGCUUAAAGCUGCUGGUGCAUUGUUUUCACUUAUUUGUGAGGUUUAGGACGUUAAUGCGCAUCACAUUUAUGGACAAGUAUAAGUUUAUGGUUAGGGUUAAUGUUGGGAUGGAAUAACUUUGUUGAAUAUAUGGAUGAAUGUAUCGGAUCUUUACAUAAAUGAAUUUGUUUUGAAUGUGUUGUCA